rnacentral:rRNA from 1 species
UACGUAGGGUGCAAGCGUUGUCCGGAAUUAUUGGGCGUAAAGAGCUUGUAUGCGGCUCGUCGCGUCGGGUGUGAAAACUUGCGGCUUAACCGCAAGCCUGCACCCGAUACGGGCGGGCUAGAGUUCGGCAGGGGAGACUGGAAUUCCUGGUGUAGCGGUGGAAUGCGCAGAUAUCAGGAGGAACACCGGUGGCGAAGGCGGGUCUCUGGGCCGAUACUGACGCUGGAGAAGCGAAAGCGUGGGGAGCGAACAGG